GACGAACGCUGGCGGCGUGCCUAAUACAUGCAAGUCGAACGCAGUGGGGACGGGUGAGUAACACGUGGGUAACCUCCCAUCAGAGGGGAUAACACUUGGAAACAGGUGCUAAACCGAUACUGAUGGAUGGACCUGCGGUGCAUUAGCUAGCUGGUGAGGUAACGGCUCACCAAGGCCAAGAUGCGUAGCCGGUCUGAGAGGAUGAUCAGCCACACUGGGACUGAGACACGGCCCAGACUCCUACGGGAGGCAGCAGUGGGGAAUCUUCGACAAUGGGCGAAAGUCUGAUCGAGCAACGCCGCGUGUAUGAAGAAGGUUUUCGGAUCGUAAAGCACUGUUGGUAGAGAAGCGGUAUCUACCCAGAAAGCCCCGGCUAACUACGUGCCAGCAGCCGCGGUAAUUC
rnacentral:rRNA from 1 species